rnacentral:lncRNA from 12 species
UGGAAUUUGACUUAGGUCUUCCAUUUCUUUGAAACAAUCAAGCAGAAUUGAAGACAGCCACAGGAAGGUGGAAGCUGAGCAAUAUGGGAUGUGAAGCCAGAAUGGGUGUGUGUCUGUUUCCUGACUGCUUGUGAGAAGGAGGAAAUACAAACAAAAGAAAGAAGAACUGCAAAAUGAUAACAAGCAGCUCUAGCAGCUACUGCAAUAGGUAAGUGCUGUAAAGAAAAGAGUGAUGGGUGUUGGCACAAGAAUA